AGUCUCAUCGACCAAGAGGGAUUCCUCUUGGCCUGUGAAAGAGUUUACUUUCAUGUACAUGAGAGUUUACUCUCUCACCGGCCAAGAGGAAUCCCUCUCGGUUGAUGAGAGU
rnacentral:miRNA from 1 species